UAAGGGCGCACGGUGGAUGCCUUGGCACUAGAAGCCGAUGAAGGACGUUACUAACGACGAUAUGCUUUGGGGAGCUGUAAGUAAGCUUUGAUCCAGAGAUUUCCGAAUGGGGAAACCCAGCAUGAGUUAUGUCAUGUUAUCGAUAUGUGAAUACAUAGCAUAUCAGAAGGCACACCCGGAGAACUGAAACAUCUUAGUACCCGGAGGAAGAGAAAGAAAAUUCGAUUCCCUUAGUAGCGGCGAGCGAAACGGGAAGAGCCCAAACCAACAAGCUUGCUUGUUGGGGUUGUAGGACACUCUAUACGGAGUUACAAAGGACGACAUUAGACGAAUCAUCUGGAAAGAUGAAUCAAAGAAGGUAAUAAUCCUGUAGUCGAAAAUGUUGUCUCUCUUGAGUGGAUCCUGAGUACGACGGAGCACGUGAAAUUCCGUCGGAAUCUGGGAGGACCAUCUCCUAAGGCUAAAUACUCUCUAGUGACCGAUAGUGAACCAGUACCGUGAGGGAAAGGUGAAAAGCACCCCGGAAGGGGAGUGAAAUAGAACCUGAAACCGUGUGCUUACAAGUAGUCAGAGCCCGUUAAUGGGUGAUGGC
rnacentral:rRNA from 1 species